GAGGACACAAAGCGGCAGACAUUCAGUCUCUGGUGCUUGCUUGUGGCCUCCGAGGACCUAGGCCUACCUCCAGCUUCUGGUGCAUUCCCUUCAGAGCUCCUGAGAAACCCUGGCCAGCCUCACAGCCCCCAACAAGCUCUUCUUUCCAAGACACUCAGCAAUUCCCCGGGUUACCGGCUCAGUUUACCUUGAGCCUACUUACCUGGUCAGCAGGCCUUGCGUCUGAUUUUCUUAACUCUACUACGGUAAGAAGAUGCCCUCCAUCAGCAGGCCGUGUCUGCUGGGACCUCUCUGGAGACUUCCUGAACCCUGUGGAUUUACAGUAAGAUGCAGUUUCCUGGGGAGUAAUUCUGGUGGAUACAAAUUCCGGAGUAUUACACCUGGCUUGCCUGGAGAUGUUACAAGUAGCUGGAUGGAUUCUUCAGCCUGGAUGCCCACUGAAAACAAGGACCGAAACUGAGAGGAUUGUAUCUCUACCCUUGACUCAAUGAGAAUGUUUGUUGUCAUCUCUCGGGCUACCUGGAGCUCCCUCUAAAAUGUAAGCCCCUAAGACCCAUCUCCUUUCAAUGCAGUGUUUCUGGUAUGUUCCUGUCUUUACACCAAGCUGUCCUGGAUGCUGGUUGAGGGCUGUCUGUUGAUGUGGCUGCUAGGAAGAGAUCUGCUGUCUUCCGUGUCUGUCUAUGUGUCUGGUAAUGACGCUGGGCGCCUGUGGGAGAAAGACAAAAAAUAGAAGUUGUUCGAGUUAA
ensembl:lincRNA